rnacentral:rRNA from 1 species
AGCGAACGCUGGCGGCGUGCUUAACACAUGCAAGUCGAACGCGCAGUUCUCUGUAGCAAUACAGGGGAUGGGCGCGUGGCGAACGGGUGCGUAACACGUGGAUAACCUUCCUUCAGGUGGGGAAUAACCCAGUGAAAAUUGGGCUAAUACCGCAUAAUAUGACGAUGGCACAUGCCGUUGUCUUCAAAGCCGCAAGGCGCCAGAUGAGGGAUCCGCGGCCGAUUAGCUUGUUGGCGAGGUAAUGGCUCACCAAGGCUUUGAUCGGUAGCCGGACUGAGAGGUUGACCGGCCACACUGGAACUGAGACACGGUCCAGACUCCUACGGGAGGCAGCAGUGGGGAAUCUUGCGCAAUGGACGAAAGUCUGACGCAGCAACGCCGCGUGGGGGAUGAAGCUUCUCGGAGUGUAAACCCCUUUCGACCCGGACGAAUGCCCGCAAGGGUUUGACGGUACGGGUAUAAGAAGCCCCGGCUAACUACGUGCCAGCAGCCGCGGUAAAACGUAGGGGGCCAGCGUUGCUCGGAAUUACUGGGCGUAAAGGGUCCGUAGGCGGUGCGGCAAGUCGGAAGUGAAAUCUCUGGGCUUAACCCAGAGGCUGCUCCCGAAACUGCCAUGCUAGAGUGCGAGAGAGGCGAGUGGAAUUGCGGGUGUAGCGGUGAAAUGCGUAGAUAUCCGCAGGAACAUCCGAGGCGAAGGCGGCUCGCUGGAUCGCAACUGACGCUGAGGGACGAAAGCUAGGGGAGCAAACAGGAUUAGAUACCCUGGUAGUCCUAGCCCUAAACCAUCAGGACUUGGGGUUUGCCCUGUACGGGGCAAGUCCCGUAGCUAACGCGUUAAGUCCUGCGCCUGGGGAGUACGGUCGCAAGGCUG